GACGAACGCUGGCGGCGUGCUUAACACAUGCAAGUCGAACGGAAAGGCCCUGCUUGCCGGGUACUCGAGUGGCGAACGGGUGAGUAACACGUGGGUGAUCUGCCCUGCACUUCGGGAUAAGCCUGGGAAACUGGGUCUAAUACCGGAUAGGAGCCAUUUUUAGUGUGAUGGUUGGAAAGUUUUUUCGGUGUAGGAUGAGCUCGCGGCCUAUCAGCUUGUUGGUGGGGUAAUGGCCUACCAAGGCGGCGACGGGUAGCCGGCCUGAGAGGGUGGACGGCCACAUUGGGACUGAGAUACGGCCCAGACUCCUACGGGAGGCAGCAGUGGGGAAUAUUGCACAAUGGGCGCAAGCCUGAUGCAGCGACGCCGCGUGGGGGAUGACGGCCUUCGGGUUGUAAACUCCUUUCGCUAGGGACGAAGCUUUUUGUGACGGGACCUAGAUAAGAAGCACCGGCUAACUACGG
rnacentral:rRNA from 1 species